rnacentral:rRNA from 1 species
UACACUCCUGCGGGAGGCAGCAGUGGGGAAUUUUGGACAAUGGGGGCAACCCUGAUCCAGCAAUGCCGCGUGAGUGAAGAAGGCCUUCGGGUUGUAAAGCUCUUUUGUCAGGGAAGAAACGGUGGUGGCGAAUAACUACUACUAAUGACGGUACCUGAAGAAUAAGCACCGGCUAACUACGUGCCAGCAGCCGCGGUAAUACGUAGGGUGCAAGCGUUAAUCGGAAUUACUGGGCGUAAAGCGUGCGCAGGCGGUUGUGUAAGUCAGAUGUGAAAUCCCCGGGCUCAACCUGGGAAUUGCAUUUGAGACUGCACGGCUAGAGUGUGUCAGAGGGGGGUAGAAUUCCACGUGUAGCAGUGAAAUGCGUAGAUAUGUGGAGGAAUACCGAUGGCGAAGGCAGCCCCCUGGGAUAACACUGACGCUCAUGCACGAAAGCGUGGGGAGCAAACAGGAUUAGAAACCCUAGUAGUCCCA